GAGGCACAGCGAUCAGGGAGGAAGAUCGUUCACAGCUGCUUCACGUCACAAGCCCCCAAAGCGGCUCGAGGAUAUGAGCAAUCCGCCGCGAGUCCACGUGCACGUUUUCUGUUUAAGCCUCGCAAAUCUGCAAGAUCCAGAGUAACAUAACACUUUGGCUCGAGGGAUUUAUUCCUCCAUCCAUCAGGAAUGUGGCAGAUGUUUAUCUAAAGUGCAUACGGGGAGGUGUACCGUGCCCUCUGACACGUGCAACCGAUGGCAUCCCGGCGCGUCUCGCCAAAAGUGCAAGUAUCCAUCCUUCUCCAGCGCCUCCGGUUGACUGUGUGUGCGUGUGUGUCACCACGGCGACGCACCGAGGCUCCGGUUAAUUAACCCGGAGGAGUGUUGCCACUUCUCGUCCGUUUUUACAUGUUUUCCUAACAGCUUGUUGGUGUGAAGGCUGUCGCCGAUGGACUGUCUCGCCUCCGUAGUCGGCGUAGCGUCACUGCAUUUAUGCUCACGGCUCUGGCUGUCCACCUCGGUCGGGCAGGAGAGACGCCGCGUCCCUCCUUCCUCAGACCACGUGCACUCACGUUGCCACGGACGACGACUCGAAACCCGCCAGGAAACCAGCACAUGAGGAGGAAACCGAGGCGGGUGGUGGCUGAUGGGACCCGUCCUCGUCUCCAUGGAGAUGUCGCCACGCGCAAACAGAAGGGGAGCUGCCGGCGGACUCGAAAAACAACUUCUGAGAAGGAACCCAGUGUGACAGCUUGGACCCGCGUUCUACAGCCACACACUUCUGCCUAAUAAUAAAGCCUCUCCAGUGUCAGAGAGGAUGAAAUCUUCACAACGCCCCCUCACUAUGAAGCUGUGCAAACAAAGCACUGGCUUGCCAGAAGCCAGGCGGAAAAAAACCCCCAUUAAUUCAACUUUUUCAAAUUUGAGCCUUGAUAUGCACACGCAAGGGAUGAUUAAUCAAUAUUUAGAAAUGUGGCAUGAAUAAGGAAAACAAGCUUAAUUAUUAGUCACCCAAAAUAAUUUCUUUGAAGUUUGUCUUCUCCAUGAUUGUUGUAAUUUAACAACCUAAAUUCCAGGUAAAUAAAAUGCAGCUUGGUUAAUGUU